UCCAAAUUCAUUCUGUGUUCGUUUAUUGUACAAGUUAGUCAUAACUAAAAGUUAUUUUCUUAUUUUAUAAUUUUAGUUAUUUUGAGUAUCCCAAAAUUGUAACAAGUGCAUUAUUUUUGUAACGUCAAAAUCUAUCGAAAUACACUUGUCUACAAUCCAAUUUAGCAUGGCGUCCAACAAGCACACACCGAAUCAAACAAAGGAUUUUAGCAAUGCAACUGAUUUGUCAGACGUAUCCGAGGUUUUGAAAUCCUUGGGAAAAAUAAUUCGUCACGAAAUGGCAAAUGCAAUAAUGACUGAGGAAUUCAAGUCAAACGUAGCUGAAAAAAUACACUUGCGGAAGGAAUCCUCUGACGAUGGAUACGUAAAAAUUGACGACCUUCAAAAGGCCUUAAUGCAUAUAAAAACUGGAAAUCCUCAGCAGUCAGCUAUCCAAAGUAAUGCUACAAUAAUUGCCGAAUCAUUUACUAAUCUGAAGAAACAAUUGGUGAAAGUCGAAACAAGAUUGGAGGCCAUGGAGGAUCACUUGUUCAAUUUAGAGCAACGCAGCUAUGACCGUAAGAAGGCUCUUAUUCAACAGAUAGUGAAAACUGCAGUAAAGAAAAUCGAUAAAAAAGAUACUAAAGAUGUUUCCACUCAAGUGAAUUUCCCAAGUCGUGAAUACGACACCAUAGUUAUUUUGGAGCCACCAAUUGGAGAUACCUUCAUCAUUAGCGAUGGAACUUCUUCCAGCUCUAGCAGCACUUUAUCAUUUGAAGAGGCAACAUUAAUUGAAACAGAUAUGACACUGAGCGAUUGUUACAGGGCUAUGAAUAAAUUCAACAAACAUAUGCUUCGUAAGAGUAUUUCUGAAGGGGGGCUAGUAUAAGAUAUACGAGCAGCCGAGAGAAGUAAGACGGAAGCCACAGAUCCACGGGACAUUGUACAGAUUGACAAAGAUUAUCCAGAAUUUAGAAGUAUAAAAAAGUUGUAUAAAGUGUGCCUUGAGCCUUAAGUCAAAAUAUAACAGACUAAUGUCACAUUACGAUAGGGAGAUUCGAUAUUAUACAUAAUAUUGGAGAUAUGUCUACAAGUAGGAAAAGGUCCAACGAAACAUCCAAAGCAAACAACACAGGAACUACCACACCAAAGAAAUCCCAUACGAAGCAUAAAAAUGGUUCUUUAGACAAAUCUGUUUUGUCUGAUAAAUUGAUCUCCAACGAUUUUAAGAAUGAACAUGAAGUGUGUGACUGCGCCAAUGUGACAAUAAAGGACCUCAACAAGGCUGUAGACGAAAUUUUCUCAAAAAAUACUAUUGAAAGUGCCCUAGAACGUAAUGCUAAUUUAUUUGCCGAGUCGAUUUUGGAUCUGCAGGAACGCGUAAUAGUGGUCGAGGCGAAAAUAGAAUCACUUGAGGAUCGCAUGGAGGAGGUGGAACAACUUGCACAUAUAAGGCACCAGAGGCACAUUGAACGGGUCGUGCGAAAAAUAAUGAAGGAAUUUCCAGAGUGUCCCAAACAGAUGACGGAACUAGGAGUUACAGAUCAUACAAAAGAUUUAAACAGCAAGCGGCAAUUUGAUGAGGGCGAUAACAAGGCAUCCGAGCAGAAAACAAUCGAUGUAAGGCAAGCAAAGAAAAAUGUUUGCCAAUUUCCAGUAGUUACAAAAGAUGAUAGAUUCUGCAAGUUGGAAUCGCGAAAGGUCUGUGCUUGCACUCCAAAUUACAAGAAUGAAGGAACUAACGAAAAGAAGUUAAGCCGCUCAAAGACUACUAUGAUCCCGCAAAGGAAGAAUUCAUAGCAUUUAAUCGUAGUCAAUUUAGAUUUCUAUGCUUAAAACGAACUGAAUUUGACAAUUCUUUAACAAUUCAAAAGAGAAACUUCUUACCUCAUUGACUACGCUGUAAUUCUACCAAAUUUUGAUUAUAUUUAUGAUUUCUUAGCUGCAAUGUUAGAGUAACAAAAAAAUUAAAAUGUAAUAUUCAACUGGA